CAUACACCACGCCCUCGCCUUCCUGAGUCGCGGGAAACACCGGAUCACGGUGUAAUCGCAUAAGUAAAGUGCACAGCUCUCAUUAACACAUUAAUCCUAUCCAGAUUGUUUAAAACGUUUUUUCAAAGCGAAGUUUAAAUAUAAAGGCCCGGUUUCACAGACAGGGCUUAGCCUAAGCCAAGAUUAGUCCUUAGAUAUGUAAGUGGCUUUUAUAAACAUACACUAGAAAAUAACAUUACUGGUGUGCAUCUUCAGACAAAACAAUGGCUCUGACAUAUUUUAAGAUAUGUGUGUUCAAGCUUCUUUCAGUUAAAACAGCUCAAACAUGCAUUUUAGUCUGAGACUAGCUUAAGCCUUUUCUGUGAAACCAGGAUAGUCUAGUUAAUGGGAACACAGGGACUACAUCCUGUUAAAUGCAUGUCUGUUGAUAUAUCUCAAUUAAUGUUUCGCAUUAUAUUUGUGUACUUUUGUAGCUUGUAGCUUUGUUUCUAUUCUCUCAGUUUAAAGCAUUUAGUAGAGCUUCUGGCCACACCUCAGAUCUAAGAUGAGAACCUGGCUACCUUGCAUUACAUUGCAUCACAACAGGUAAGUAAAACAGUGUUACUGUUCUGCAGGAUUUAAUAUGGGAAACUGCGAAAACGUCAAACAAUUAUCAGUUCAAACUAAAGGUUGGACUGUGCCUGUGAACGCUUUAUAUUCAUUAUAGAGGUAACUCUAAAUCCGUAUUGGUAUAUGUUGAUGCCCACAUCACGAUCAGGGGACAAAAUGUACAGUUUUGGUGUGAACGUAAAUAUUUAACAUGACAAACUGACCUAUUCUCUUACAAUCAUCUAAAUAUUGCAUUUGUUUUUAGAAGUUGAAAAAAUGGUGGUAAAUUCAGUGGUAAAAUACAAUUCUCUUCACAUUUAUUGUAUAGCACUUAUAUACCAUUUCAAAGCAGCUUUACAGAAAAUGUCUGUAAACGUCAGUUUUUUCGGGUUACUCGAGUAGAUGUGAUUCUCUGUUGCUUAAAGGGAUACUUGAGUCAAAAAUGAAAAUUGUCACCAUUUACCCUCUUUCCAAAACCAUAUGGAAGUGACACAACUGAAGAUAUGGAUGUUAGAGGAAGGAAGGAUGGAGGAGAUAUGGAUGGUACAGAAGACAACACUUUGAAACAUAUAAAAUUAUACUUUUAUUGUCUUAAGGUGUUAUUAUUCGAAAAAAAAAAAAAAAAAAAACCAUAUACAAACUAAACAAGAACAAUCAAAAGAUAAAUAUCAAAUGUUAAAAAAGAAAAAACAACUAAUCUAUAUAUAGGUGAUGAGGUCUUAUUGUUUGGAACAAACUAAACAAACAAAACAAAUGGCUCAGAUUAACAUCAAAUGGUAAAGUGGGGGGAAAACAAAGAAAAAGGGAUGGCUAAUCUAUACGUUGGUGAUUAAUUUUCAGCUGAUCUGAUUUUGAUGACCCUGCGGUUGAUGUGUCUUAGCACAAGUUUCAUUGGCAGCUUGCCGACGAGUUCAUCUGGAUUUCCAGAGAAGAUGGUUUCGGGAACGAUAUACACGACUGAUUCACUGCUGAGGAAGUGGCAGGUGUCAUUUAUCUCAGAGACCCCAGUGAUGUCUGCCUCUGUAUCCUCAACCUGUCCCUCAGGGAUCUGUGGGGGAUAUUAAUGGAUAUUAAAUUCUUGUUUAUUGACCUGUUGUGUUAAAAAUAUCACACUUGCAACUCUAGCCUUUUAUCAGAUUACAGUCAUGCUUUUGUUCACAGGAUAUUUAUAUUUAUUCACUGAAAUGUAGGUUUACAGUUCCAAAAUGCCUGUUCUACCCGACUGUCAUAGCAGCAGUAGUGUGUGCAUUAUUACCUUCACAGAUGUAUUCACUGAGGAGUGAAUUUUCCCUGCCGUUGUUGAGCAUGCAGGGAUGAAGGUGGGUCAGAAGCACCUCAUCACCUACAUAUAGGUCAGUCAGCGCCUGUAUGUUCUAGUGGAUUUCCAUUUUCUCCUGCAUGUUCUUUGGUGGAUUAUCAAUUAAAGACUGUUUAUUGUACUUACCUUCAUUGUGCGCUUCAGUACAGCCACCCUAAUCCAUGACAAAAACAUAAUGAUCACUCAAAUGUGCUUGUGUUUCAGGUACCAGUGGAGUGGAUGAGAAUCAUGUGUUCAUCAGUUCAGGUAAAAAUGUCCAUCUGCCCUGUAAUAAUAAUCUUUCUGACUGCACAUCAACUACAUGGAUCUAUGACAACCAUAUAGUGGCUGUUGAACUGAUAGCUGGAGGGAUAAAGAAGAAAGACACAGAGAGAGAGACAUGAGAGUCUGAGUCUGGAGCGUGACUGCUCUCUGAACAUCAAGAACGUCACAGAAGAAGAUUAUGGAUCUUACAUCUGCAGACAAUAUGUGAACGGAGGAAAACAAGGAACUGAUGCACGUGUUGAUCUGCAUGUUCUUCAUGGUACCAGUGGAGUGGAUGAGAAUCAUGUGUUCAUCAGUUCAGGUAAAAAUGUCCAUCUGCCCUGUAAUAACGCUCUUUCUGACUGCACAUCAACUACAUGGAUCUAUUACAACCAUAUAGCGGCUGUUGAACUGAUAGCUGGAGGAAUAAAGAAGAAAGACACAGAGAGAGAGACAUGAGAGUCUGAGUCUGGAGCGUGACUGCUCUCUGAACAUCAAGAACGUCACAGAAGAAUAUUAUGGAUCUUACAUCUGCAGACAAUAUGUGAAUGGAGGAAAACAAGGAACUGAUGCACGUGUUUAUCUGCAUGUUCUUCAUGUUUCAGUCUCUCCAUCAUCGCAGACUGAGAUCAGUCCAGGCCGCUCUGUGACUCUCUCCUGUCAGUUGUAUUCAGUCUCCUGUGAUGAUUUGGUUCAUUCUGAGGGACUUCAGCUGUUGUGGGUGAAUCAGGCUGGUGUUGAUCUGAAGACAGACUCCAGAUAUCAGAAAUCAGCUCCAGGACACUGUAUCAUCAC